rnacentral:rRNA from 1 species
GAUGAACGCUCGCGGCAGGCCUAACACAUGCAAGUCGAGGGAUAAGCCUUCGGGCUGCAACCGGCGCACGGGUGCGUAACGCGUAUACAAUCUGCCUUUCACAUAGGGAUAGCCCGGAGAAAUUUGGAUUAAUACCUAAUGGUAUAUAAGAGUGGCAUCAUUUUUAUAUUAAAGCUUUGGUGGUGAAAGAUGAGUAUGCGUUCUAUUAGCUAGUUGGAGAGGUAACGGCUCCCCAAGGCGACGAUAGAUAGGGGUUCUGAGAGGGAUGUCCCCCACACUGGUACUGAGAUACGGACCAGACUCCUACGGGAGGCAGCAGUGAGGAAUAUUGGACAAUGGUCGGAAGACUGAUCCAGCCAUGCCGCGUGCAGGACGACGGUCCUAUGGAUGGUAAACUGCUUUUGUAAGGGAAGAAUAAGGAGUACGUGUACUUUGAUGACGGUACCUUACGAAUAAGCAUCGGCUAACUCCGUG